rnacentral:rRNA from 1 species
AACGAACGUUGGCGGCAUGCCUAACACAUGCAAGUCGAACGAGACCUUCGGGUCUAGUGGCGCACGGGUGCGUAACGCGUGGGAACCUGCCCUUAGGUUCGGAAUAACUCCCCGAAAGGGGUGCUAAUACCGGAUAAUGUCUUCGGACCAAAGAUUUAUCGCCUUUGGAUGGGCCCGCGUUGGAUUAGCUAGUUGGUAGGGUAAAAGCCUACCAAGGCGACGAUCCAUAGCUGGUCUGAGAGGAUGAUCAGCCACACUGGGACUGAGACACGGCCCAGACUCCUACGGGAGGCAGCAGUGGGGAAUAUUGGAAAAUGGGCGAAAGCCUGAUCCAGCAAUGCCGCGUGAGUGAUGAAGGCCUUAGGGUUGUAAAGCUCUUUUACACGGGAUGAUAAUGACAGUACCGGGAGAAUAAGCUCCGGCUAACUCCGUG